ensembl:lncRNA
CUCCACUUUCACAGCAGAGUCCUGCACCGUGUCGACUGCUCGUGAGUACCAAGCUGUCGUCUUUCUACUUAAUUUAACUGACGGCUCAUUGGCUGCACCUGUGCUGGUGUAUUUAAGCGACCUGGAACCAUAUAUGGCUCUUCUAACCACCAUCUGACAUUUCCCCAUUGCUCACUAGACCACCAUCUUUAUUCUCUGCACCGCUUCACUCCCAGACAUGUACUUCUCAAGUGUAAUAAAGGGGUUUACGCGCCAUAGCCCAACCGCCGUACUCUGCUCUGUCAGGUUUUUGAAGGGGAGGCUUUGAAACUCAUGCCUCAGUUUGACAUUUACGGUCGAGCAACUCGGAGC